GUUUCUUUGUUCUACAUUCUGCCUGCGGUCUUCGCUCUGCUUCUGAUCCUGACAUUUGUCCUUUUGUUGGUUUUAAAAUACAAAUCAAGGAUCAAGCAAGUGGAUGGAGUCAAUUCAAACGUGUUGUACUCUGAUGACAGUAAUGUGGAGAUGAGAACCAAUGAUAUCUAUGAGUUACAAGAGGAUGCUGUUUACAUGAACUCUUCCACUCCAAACAUGUUGAAUCAUGAUGACAAUGAUAUCUACAACAACAUCCUUUAAAGGAGACAAGCAGAAGUUAGGAAACACGUGACCAGUGUUUCUCACAUCUAGUGUAACAGCUCACUAUGGCAACCAGAUGCUGGUGUGUUUUCAUUUAGACAUGUUUUUAAUAUUUAUUAAAUAACAUUAUCUGAACGUGAGCUAUCCAAUAUUUCCAAAUGCUGUAAUUUCAAUGUUAUUGCAUUGAAUAUAUAAGCUGCAAUAAACCAACC